rnacentral:snRNA from 1 species
GUGCUUACUUCAGCUGCACAUAUAUUAAAAUUGAAAUGAUAUAGAGAAAAUUAGCAUUGUCCCUGUGCAAGGAUGACAUGAAAAUUCAUGAAUUAUUCUAUAUUUGU